rnacentral:rRNA from 1 species
UACGGAGGGGGCUAGCGUUGUUCGGAAUUACUGGGCGUAAAGGGCGCGCAGGCGGCUGCUCAAGUCAGGCGUGAAAGGCCUGGGCUCAACCCGGGAAUUGCGCUUGAGACUGAGCUGGCUUGAGUGCGGGAGAGGAUGGUGGAAUUCCCAGUGUAGAGGUGAAAUUCGUAGAUAUUGGGAAGAACACCGGUGGCGAAGGCGGCCAUCUGGACCGUAACUGACGCUGAGGCGCGCAAGCGUGGGGAGCAAACAGG